GCAAGUAGACUUCAGUAGUCAGGAGAACUCAAUGUGGUGCUUUCAGGCAUGGUCUUUUAAAAUGGAUUCUUGCAUCUCAUUAAGGGAGGGGGCAUCUGGACCAACCUCUGUUGGGGAGGGCUAAACUCCAGAUGUCCCUCGCAUAAUUCCACGUGAAGAUAAUUUUGUGGUAUCUAUAACUCCAAAAAUAUAGUAAUUUGGUGAGCGUGAUUUAUCUAGGUGCAUUACUGGCCAAGAGUGGAUCAGAAUGAUACCGAAUGUGAUCAUGUGAAUAGCAGACAGGUUAAGACAUAUUAUGUUGGUACCAAUCAGGAGAAAUAAAAGAUUACAGGCGAGGCAAGAUGUAGGUUGAUCAUGAAGUUAUUAAAAAGUUCACUUGUUCUGUGAAAUGGAGGUGCAUAAAAAGGAAUUUAGUCCAGAAUUGUGAGAUGAUUGUCUUUGUUAGUUCUGAUGUGAGUCCAGAAUUUCUUUGUCAGUGAGUAGAAUGUCUUUGAAGUUGUCAUGCAGGUUCCUGAGCCCCCCGUCUAGGGCUCAGCAAUCAAUCAGAAUGUUUAUUGCCAGCAAUUUGGUUUCUUUGUAGGCUUGGUAGUACUUGGGAGUUUAAAUCAGCCUCUUGGCGGAGACAGGCCCAAUACACAUCCUGUAUAGGGGAAUCCUUUAACGUCUGAUCCCGUGCUUGCCUCCUGCUUCGCUGAUCAAAAGCGGAGCCUGUCUCCAUCCUGUGGCUGCAGAGCUUUUAGGGCUCCAGAGCUAUAGGCGGAGGUGGGUGGAUAAACAAAACCUGCUCUGGUUCUGUUUCAUUGUUGAUAAUGGCUGGUGGAUCCUACACUAAUGUUAUGUAGUGCUAGUGCUGUAGGGGAGCAAAAGAGAGGCACUGAUGGAAGACACUUGGAAGUGAGCAUUAACAUCUCACCGUUUGGAUUUCCCUGGAAAACUCAUUCUGAGUGCUUAAAAUAGAAAUGCAGCUGUUAUACCAAGGUCACAAGAAAUGGAUAAUGCAUAUGACUUGCUUCACAUUAUUAUCCAUACUACCUUUAAUACUUAAGGUGACAUACUACCCAUGUUUAGUCUUUUUCAGAAAUACAGACUCUAUCAGCUUCUUUUCACCACACCCAGAGAGGAGCUACUGACAGGCGUGGAGAAGACCAUUGAUGUGUUCUGUUGUCAGGAUCCUCUCACCCCGCUGGAGCAGGGCAUUUCCACCCACCUUUGCUUACAGUAAUUGCCCUGUCUGCUAUUCAAAUUAAUGAAAAGUUGAUGCUGGGUGAAUGACUGGCAUGAAUUAAUAUUAAUUGCAGCCUGUGAUUGUUUCAUUCUUUACUUUACUGUACUGUUUGUAUAUGGAUCCAUGCUGUGUAUAACCAGUCCAUAGGUCUACAUAUCUGACCGUUUCUGUACCAAUCAAUCCAGUGGUAUGUAACAGAAACAACGAGAAGGUGGUUAGAUGUGCUUAGAUGUUCCUUCGCAAUAAAUGGGUUGCCUGUUGACAAAAAAACUAUAAUAAAACAACUCUUGUCUGAAUGAUACA